rnacentral:siRNA from 1 species
GGGAUGUUCUGGUUUCUUGCAAU